GCUAGCUUUGAAGAAGCCCGACGAGACGCGCCGUACCGGGACGAAGGCAAAGACGACGCAGC
rnacentral:ncRNA from 1 species